UUCUCUUUCUCCCUCUCUUUCUCUUUCUCUUUCUCCCUCUCUUUCUCUUUCUCUUCCUCUUCUUCUUCCUCAACCUCUACUCACUCACUUUCUCUCUCUCUUUCUCGUUUACACCUCGCAUUCACACGCAAGGGAGAUAACUCUUCCCACCAACCUUCUAUUUUCUCCUCGACGAAUCCUUUACGAGCUACCGACGAAUUUACUCAGAACUAUUCAACAAUGGCACGCAAAAUUCAAAUUGCUUUGGAGCAAUUUGUUCGGAGUAAAUACAUGAUUGAACGAGUAAGAAGGGAAUUCGUGAAUAAGAAUAUUCAGAAAAUAAUGGUGAACAAAGAAUGCGUUAGCUUAACGAUGUGGCUUUAGUAGACGAAUCUCUGGUUAAAUAUAUGAAUAAGGGAGAGAGAUUAGUUUCAUGAAAUAUCGUAUGUAAUUUCGACUAGGAAGAUGUCCUUGGUAAGCCUGCCACUUCGUGUUACAACUUAAUGAGACCUCUCCAAAGGAAGCAUCUGUCCUUUUCAUUUCGCGACAAUGUAUAUAUAUGAAUAUACAUAUCUAUAUACAUAAACGAUGCCAUUACGAGGAUGAGAAGAAAGUAGAGAAUAACGAGCAACUUUUUCCACCAUACAUAUAACGUCAGGAAAUUACUAUAGUAUUAUUAUUAUGAUUUUGAAAGCAUGUAGAAAAUUUAUGAAACUAUUUCAUACGAUAGGCGAGUAUCAAAGGACAAAUGAAUUUUCUCGUAACUCUUUAAUCGACAUUUUGAUUAUCGAUUCCCGCGUUAUCUCUCUUAAUGAUCGUUAGUCAACGUAUACGUACAUAUAUACGUUGAUCGAUCGAAGUAACGAAGCAUGGCAUUUAGAGUUCGUUAAAAUUUAACGAUUCCAAUGUGUGGAAUGAUAGGGAACUUUCAUAAGUCAUUUUUCAUAGCUCGUUUUACUUUAUGUUGACGAGGACAUUUUGCCUAGCUAUAAUAAACGCUGUAAUAAAUAAUACUUUUGAUUAUUUUAUAAUUAUUCAAAUAAUCUAUAAGUACACGGAAUAUACUAAAUUAUCAUUUUAAUAAUAGUACAAUCUAAUAUUACAUUCGCGUAAUAUUAGAUAUCUUGUAACACGUAUUACAUAUAAAUUAAUUUUAAUAUAAUUUAUCCUAUUUGAUGAGUAAUGAUUAUUAAUUGUUUCAUAAAUAAAACUAUAGAAAAAAUUGCAAAAUGAAACAAAUUACUCUUGAACAAUGAGAAAUUAGAAUUGCGAAAUAACAGUAUGACGGGGUAGAGGAG